rnacentral:rRNA from 1 species
AUUGAACGCUGGCGGCAGGCCUAACACAUGCAAGUCGAGCGGAUGAAAGGAGCUUGCUCCUGGAUUCAGCGGCGGACGGGUGAGUAAUGCCUAGGAAUCUGCCUGGUAGUGGGGGACAAGGUUUCGAAAGGAACGCUAAUACCGCAUACGUCCUACGGGAGAAAGCAGGGGACCUUCGGGCCUGGCGCUAUCAGAUGAGCCUAGGUCGGAUUAGCUAGUUGGUGAGGUAAUGGCUCACCAAGGCGACGAUCCGUAACCGGUCUGAGGGGAUGAUCAGUCACACUGGAACUGAGACACGGUCCAGACUCCUACGGGAGACAGCAGUGGGGAAUAUUGGACAAUGGGCGAAAGCCUGAUCCAGCCAUGCCGCGUGUGUGAAGAAGGUCUUCGGAUUGUAAAGCACUUUAAGUUGGGAGGAAGGGUUGUAGAUUAAUACUCUGCAAUUUUGACGUUACCGACAGAAUAAGCACCGGCUAACUCUGUGCCAGCCGCCGCCGUAACAC